rnacentral:lncRNA from 1 species
UGCAAAAUGAUAAUAAAUUUCAGUGGAGACGCCUACAUAGAGUAACACCAUCGCCAAUAGAAACUUGCGAGAACUCUACACGUUGAUCCCGAGACAGGUAGUCAUUGAGUUCCUGUAUAGCCUUUGUUGAGUCCCUGAAAAGCUCUGGAACUUCAUUUUCUUCUUGAGCAACAAAUCCAAACCAUAGGGUGUUAUCAUAAGCAAUUAUUCCUCCAAUCUUAACUAAUUUCAACAAUUGCUCAUGGUAAUUUUUGUAAUUGGGAGCAUCUACAAAUGCCAUGUCAAAUUCUUCUUUCUCCUUUUCCUGUUGUUUAUAUAUACAAUGAAAAAAACAAAAUAAAUAAAAUCCAAAUAUAUAGAUAUAUAUUAGGCUAAAACUUUAUGAAAGUUGCAUACAUUGUUUAACAUUUCACUUAAUACUGAAAUAGCAUUAGAGUGAAUGAAAUUGAUUUUGUGCUCGACGCCAGCCUUACGAAUGAAUGGUAAUCCAAAUUCAUAAGCUUCUUGAUCAAUGUCUAUUGCUUUUAUCUGUUCACAAAAUUUCUCAGCAGGCACAAGGUUACUUCUUCGUUAAAAAGAGAAACAAAAAGGCACUAUAUACGUAUAAUGCAGAAGAGUAGAUACAAUCUUCAAAAUGAAAUUAGUCCCAUACUAAAAAAGGGCGGAAACAGGAUAAGAAAAGAACAUAAAUUACCCGGCCAUCAUGAGGCAACGCAAGGGCAAUUGAAAGAAGAGAAUAGCCAGUAAAAACACCAAUCUCUAAUGUCCUUUUCGCGUUCAUCAUCUUCACAAUCAUUGAUAGGAACUGCGCUUCAUCAACUGGCACUGCCAUUAUGCUCCUGCAACAAGUAAAUUUUUUGAAACAUUUAUAAACUUUUCUAAUAUUUAUGGAUCUAUAUAGUAAUUACUUACAAGUUUCCAUAUUUCUUCUCCGUAGCUUUUCGUAAAUUCUUGAGUUCCUGUUGCUCUCUAGGACAUGCACUUGUUUCAUAGAUAUACUGUAGCAAAAUUAAUUGCUUCGUUAUAAUUAAUUGAACAGAGAUAAAAAGAAAGAAAACAAAUUAAACAGAGUUCCGACCUGUUUCUUUUAUAUAUACAAACCUUCAAUAGAGCUUCGCUCUGAAGGAUUCCUUUACGAGGUAAACUGUGCGCCAUGCCUGACUUCGUCCUUUUCUUCUUCUUUUAUCUUUAAUUAUAAAACUAGUUUUUUUACAUCUUUUUGCAAUAGCACCGCGUGUCGUCUGCAUGCACAAAUAAAGACAAAUGAAACCCGCCACAUGUGAAUGAAUGGAGAUACCCAUGUGGGUAUGGAAUUCUCAUUGAAAAGACCUCUUCUUGAAAGGGAAAUAAUCAUCUCAUAUGAGUUGCUCAGAUGCUUAUUAGGUACUAAGGUUAGGAAAUUAUCUAGAACCCUUCUAGGAACGGACUUAUUCAGUCAGAUCGUGCCGGGGUUUUUUUUUUAUAGGUAAUUUAAUUAUUUUAUUAAUUUUUAUAUAUUCAGAAAAAAUUUAACAUUUUCAGAUAUCUGAUCCCGAGUUAAUAGACUUACUCCGAACAAAUUCAACAUAACCUGAAAAUGUUACGUAAAAAAUAAUCUGAAAACUAAAAGAGUACAAAAUUCAUAAUAGAUAACUAUUUCUUCUCUUAAAAUAAGAGAAUAAAUAGUUGAAAUAAACCAAAUCCAAAAACUUCAUAUCCAAGUCAAAAAAUCACUCUGCGCAUAAACUCCCUUUUUAGCCAACACAUCAGCAAAAUUAUUCUUGCUUCUUUUGAUAAGAUAAAAAAUAAUGUGUACUAAAGAUGAGAUCAAACAAUCCAACCUGGUAAAUUUUUUUCACCAAUGCCACGAUGUAUUAUUUGUGUUCAACAUCCAAUCAAUCACAUUCUUGAAUCAGACUCACUAGUAAGGGGAAAGAAUUUAUAUGCGAGGAAGAGAAGACUUCGAUUGCAAAGGAUUGUCAGAAAUUCUGCUUCAUCUGAAUCUGCAACACCCACUGAUUUGUAGAAUAUACAUAACACUUGACCAUGGGAGUUUCUAAGAACACCAUCAAGUCCUGUAGGGCCUGACUUUCCAAUGGAUGAUCCAUCAACAUUGAAUUUUAAAGAUCCAUCGGGUGGAUUAUCCCAAUCUGUACAGGGGAGGGGUCUAAUAUUGUUGGAAAUAGUAUUUCCUAUAUUAGUACACACUAAAAACUGAAAAGAAACUCCAAUUUGAGAAUGAAGCUAUAAGAUAGAUCGAAAUUUAGCUCUUAAUAACUUAAAACUUUUCCUUUUUACAGUUUCUAAAACCUGAGCUGAAUCCAUUCUUUCAUUCGAAAAAAUAAACUUGUUCCUUCUCAUCCAUAUAGUAACAAAAAAUAGCGCAUUCCAAAUCAAGUUUGCUCUUGUCAAUAAUAAAAAGCUUUCCCAAUGCCAACCAAGAUUAAGUAAACUGCAAGAAAACACACUUGAUACACCCCACGAGUUAAGAAUCAUGAUCCAAACCUCUCUAGCAAAGAAACAUGUUAGUAAGCAAUGAUCCGUGAUCUCGAUCUACUUCAUUGUUGCACAAGGGGCCAAAGCAAUCUCUAAUAUAUUGAAUAACAUUCGGAAUGAACAAGUUUUGUUUAUAAGGAAUCUUAUUUAAAAAACAUUUCCAAAUAGAAAUAGAAAUUUUUGAUGGGAUGAAUGAAGACCAAAUAAGUUUUUGAUUAUAAUUGACUUCCACCUCACCAACCUCUUUUUCUUCCAAAAUAAGAUUGAAAUUUUUCGCAUAGAAUUGCUUGCUUUUAUUAAAGGACCAAAACAUUUUGUGUGAUGCAUUCAUAUUCAAAGAAAUACCUGCCAAUUCAGAAGAAAAUUGAGACCAAGUUUCCUCCUCGAAACUUCUAAGCUCUUUAAUCCAGUUCACUUACCAAACCCAAUUACUUUCCAUGAAGUAACCAUUUUCACACACAAGGGACUUUUUAUUUGCAGCUAAACAAAAAAGUCUAGGGUAAAUGGCUCUAAUUGGGAUAUCAAAUAACCAAAGUCUAACCAGAAAUGUAUUUGACACCCGUUUCCAAUUAGCCAUCUAAAACCACAUUUUAAAAUAUCUAAAACAGGAGAAAAAAAUAUUACCAAUUGAAACUAUAUCUCACUAGAUAGGUGAAAGUUUCCUCCAAAGUAUAACAUCUGGAUUUGCAAACGGAGAUGCUUCAUUGCCAUAUUUCGCAAUAAGAAUGUUUUUCCAAAGAAAACCUCUCUCUGGUUUAAACCUCUACCACCGUUUACCUAGCAAAGUUACGUUUUUUUCUUUUGAUUGAAGUAAUCCCCAAACCUCCAUAUUUUGUAUUUCUAGCAAUAGAAUGCCAAGCCACCCAAUUUAGUGGUUAUUCAGUGGUGUCGAAUCCUCGCUUUCUCUUUACCCUAACCUGUGGAUGGGCAUAGCCCCACCAAAAGUUGAACUUUUGUUCUGGCUCAUUCUUCGGAAUGGUAUUAACACUAAAGACAAUCUGGUUAGGAAGGUUAUUCUUUCGAAAGAUGCUUGUUUUUGCUCUUUUUGUAAUCACGUUCUUGAGUCACCCAGUCACCUUUUCGGCUUGAAAAUUGUGGUGCAAGUGUUUAUCGUGGUGGGGAAUCUCUUUUUGUACCUCUAGCAGUCUUAAAGAUCAUUUUGGUCAUUGGUCGUUUUCGCUCGGGGUCGGGGUUGGUUCCAAUCUAGAUUCUGGUGGGCAACCUUCUAUUCUGUGAUUUGGACUCUUUGGAAGGAAAGGAAUGAAUCCACUUUUAGGAAUUCCUGUUUGAUGAAGAAAGACUUUUUGAUCUGUUGUUGUACAGAGCUUGUGCAUGGAUCAAAGCACCGUUCCCGAUUUUCCUUGCACUUUAAAUCAAGUAAUCUCUACUACUUCCUCUAUUUACCAUUGGAGAAUCUCUAAACCAACCAGAUCUUUAGUUAAUUGGCUUCCUCCUACUAAAUAUUAUCUGAAAUGGAAUGUUGCUGUACUGGGCACCAACAGCUCAGGUUCUAAUCAUUACCAAUUAAUAUUACAGACGGAUUGUGCUUUAUCUUGUAGGCGAAAGAAAGAAUUGGCAGUAAAAACAAUGCAAGUAUUAUAAUUUUAUUUUAGGGAUGAAAAUAAUAAAACACCAUCUAUCAUCUCAUCUCCAACAAACAAAAUCUAAAUAGCAAUGCAACAUGGUAGUAAAUUUUCAAUAUAGACGCCUACAUAAAGUAACACCAUCACCAAUUGAAACUUGUGAGAUCUCUACACGUUGAUCCUGAGAUAGGUAGUCGUUCAUCUCCAGUAUACACUUUCUUGUAUCCCUGAAAGGCUCUGGAACUGCAUUUUCUUCUUGAGCAACAAAUCCAUACCAUAAGGUGUUAUCGUAAGCAAUUAUUCCUCCAAUCUUAACUAAUUUCAGCAAUUGCUCAUGGUAAUUUUUGU